rnacentral:rRNA from 1 species
CCUACGGGAGGCAGCAGUGAGGAAUAUUGGUCAAUGGACGAGAGUCUGAACCAGCCAAGUAGCGUGAAGGAUGACUGCCCUAUGGGUUGUAAACUUCGUUUAUAGGGGAAUAAAACGUUCCACGUGUGGGAUUUUGUAUGUACCAUAUGAAUAAGGAUCGGCUAACUCCGUGCCAGCAGCCGAGGUAAUACGGAGGAUCCGAGCGUUAUCCGGAUUUAUUGGGGUUAAAGGGAGCGUAGGGGGAUUGUUAAGUCAGUUGUGAAAGUUUGCGGCUCAACCGUAAAAUUGCAGUUGAAACUGGCAGUCUUGAGUACAGUCGAGGUCGGCGGCAUUCGUUGUGUAGCGG